GAGAGUUUUAAUUACCUGCUAGAUGUAUAUAACAAUGGUUCCACCAGCGAGGACAAAGCUAGGCACGUUAAAAUGAGUCACUGUGACCAAGAAGGGUAAGACAUUUUGAUACUGUCGUUUUGAGUUUUAUGCUCUUUGUAUCAUUUUCUUGAGCCGAGGGUCUAUAGGAAGCAGCCUCUCUACCUUCCCAAGGAAGGGGUAAGGUCUGCGUACAGCCAUACACACUACUCUCCCCAGACCCCACUUGUGGAAUUUCACUAGGUUGUUGUUGUCGUAUGCUCUUUGUGACCAGGAGGUCACUAGUUCGAGCUGUGGAUAUAGCCUCUUGCAGAAUUGCAGGGUAAGGCUGCGUACAAUAGACCCUUGUGGUCCAGCCUUCCCCGUAUUCCACGCAUAGCGGGAGCUUAGUGCAUCGGGCUGCGCUUUAUUGUUGUCGUAUGCGCUUUGUAUCAUUUUGAGUUUGUUGUCGAUAUUUGUUCUUAUUUAAUCAGUUCUUCGGGAUGUUGCAGUGGUCAAGGAUUGAAUCUUCCAGAUAGCCCGUUUGCAUCUCCAAUAAGGAAUGGCAUUUCAACUGUCAUUUAGGUUCAGAAACACAGAAGGAUUAUAGAGUUUAAAGAGGACUGAGUUUUGGAAAGCAGUUCGUUGGUUCGACACAUAAAAGUACUUUUCUUCCUAAAUAUUUCCAUAAAACAGUUACUAUUAAAUAGUUGCUCAACUGCCUGCAAAUACACCUGAUCCUACAGAAAGCGCGAGAAGUUAUUCGUUUUCAUUUUUUAGGUGAACAUCAUAAGAGAAUUACAUAGAAAAAGAAUCGCGACAUGUAACAAGUUUCAUAGGUUUUCAGCUUUGAUAAGAAGUUAAUGAUAGGGAGCAAGUUUGAUGCUUGCUUUGCAGGUUUUAGAAGUUAAAAUGUAAUUAUGGUUUUUUUUCUAAGUGUGAUGGAGAAGAAAAUAGGCUCAGAUUCAGAGUUUGGUGUCCAUUGUAGAGCUCUCUGCUACUUGACAGAAAUGCUAAAUGUUGCUAACAAUAAAGUUAUACAUAGUUUUCAUUUCUAGUCUCUGUUUACUUUCUGAACACAAAUUUGUCAUUUAUAUUUUGGCGUAACCGGUAAAGUUGACUCCAUGUGACCAGAAGGUCAUGAGUUUGAGCCGUGGAAAUAACCUCUUGUAGAAAUGUAGGGUAAGACUGCGUACAAUAGACCCCUGUAGUCAAGCCCUUCCCCAGACCCCGCACAUAGCGGGAGCUUAGUACAUCGGUGAUAUCCGAAUCAGCUUGCAUGCAUAGGUGGUAUUCGAAUCAGCUUGCGUGCACCUCGGGUAAUCCUCUUUGUUUGCUAAAAAUGUAAAUAUAAAGUAGUUGAAUAUGGAUCAUAUAUGUGGUCCUCUACUGCUUGUUCUCUUAGUUGUACAAAAGGGUCCCCAAUAGUAAAGAAAAUGUAUAUUAGACCCUUGAUAUGCGGAACUGAUGCAAGUUGUAUUUUUUUAAAAUUAUAUUUAAUGCCAAAACUAAGUAAAUUGACCAUCUUAGAAAGUUAUUAUUUUGUCGCUUUCAUCCACGUUGAUCUACUUUAUUAUUUAUUGCUUUCACCAUUAUACAACUGAAAAAUAUUGUUUUUUUUUUUUUUGCAAUUUGUGAGAUUGACUUUGAUAAAGUAGUGGUGCUGAAGUGCGACAAUUAUUUAGAUUUGUGGACAUUAUGUGAAUUUUAAUUUUAGAUUUGUAGGACCGACGUAUCUACUAUCUGUUUUUUAAUCUUUUAUACGACACAGAUGUUACAUGUCUAUGGCCAUAAAUGUUUUUGUUCAUACAUUUCUUAGCCACAAACACACUUCAUACUUCAAAAGUAGUUUGAUUCUCUUCGCAUCCACUAGUUUUAUUGAUUUAUAUUUUUUUAAAAUCAAAACUAAGCUCCAUUUGGUAGUUUGUGAGAUAUUUCUUCACUAAAAUAGAAUAGUUUGGAAAUUCAUAGAAUUAUCUAUAAAAUAAUGUAGCAGGAAAUUAAUUUAGGACAAAAGAUAAUAAACAACUUUUGCCAAUUUGGGAUUAAAAAUUAGGAUCUUUUCAUACAUAUGCUAAAUUAUAAAGUUAUUUACCUGAAAUGUGUAAAGUUUGCUAUUUAUCAAAGUAGACUGACUAUAUAUAUAAAUAUAUUUUUUUCACUCUGUUCAUCUGUUCUUUCCAACCUUUUAAAGAUAUAAAUUUUUUCUUAACACAACUUUUUUUUAAACCUCACCAUGGCCGUAGUUAAAUAUAUUUGCCCACUUUAACACCUUUCUGAUAAUAUUUUGGGCUUAUUUUAACUGGUCUCUCCUAGAAAUUUAUAGGUUAAUCCAUCAGAGUUAUUAAGAAGUUGGAAAGAUAACCAUAUACUUAGAGUGAUUUUUUUAGUUAUUUACAAACUAGCAACUAAGAAAUUAAAGAUAUAAGACAUAAUAUAAAAGCUUUAAAUAAAUCGGGGUAAUAAACAGAAAUAUAAUUUAUAAAAACAGUAACUUACAUGUUUACAGGAGAGGGAUUUCCCUUUCGGUAAACUCGAAAGAGUUUACUGGACUUAAAAACUUGCACACUAAAGCAUAAAUCUUUAUUUAUUUUACAUGUUUGAGAUAGAAAAUACUAAAGCAUAUAUAGUGAAAUAUUUUAAAAAGAGAGGUGUGGAGGAUGGUUUUUCUGGUGUAGGUGAAGGGAAUGGUGAAGAGAGUAUGUUUUUCUUCAG
rnacentral:lncRNA from 1 species